AACGAAACGAGACCUUAACCUGCUAACUAGCCCGUAUUGCUUUGGCAGUACGCUGGCUUCUUAGAGGGACUAUCGGCUCAAGCAAAAGGAAGUUUGCCCCAAUAACAGGUACGUGAUGCGGCUAGAUGUUCUGGGCCGCAACAGCACUACACUGACGGAGCCAGCGAAAACAGCCUUCGCCGAAAGGACUGAGAAAUCUUGAAAAACUC
rnacentral:rRNA from 1 species